UCUGCCUGUACGUGCAAACAUGGGCCAAGCCCAUCAUCUCUCCCUUUCUUUCCUAUGCCUAGCAGGUGAGUCACACGAGAGGAGCAGAGGCUGGGGCGUUGCUGAGUUUGGCUUCAAUUUUUUUUGAUCGUAGUAUAUACUUGUGUACCCUACAUACACGUACCUGGAGGGGGCCCCUGCCGUUUGGGGGCCCGGGGCGGCCGCCCCGUUCGCCCCCCUCAGGGCCGGCCCUGCCCACAGCCUGAACCACCCGGGCCGUGGCCGACCACACGACCAGAUCUACAACCAACUCAGCGGCGACUCCGCCGCUGCCCCGACCUCACGACGGCGGCCGCGACUGUCUCGCCGAAGCUCCUCUACCAAAGGUACGAAAUGGCUGGGUCAGUUAGCUCCGAUGAUUUUUGCACCCCCGGCGGCCGCCGAACUGAACCAACACCGGCGAAAUCAUCAGAUAGCAGGCGAACUAGUGCGUCAGGCAGCCGAUCUGAUGCAAUUCCACCUAAUUUCACUUCUAGGAGCUCUGCACGUUGUCACUAUUAACGACAGUUUCAGUGAAUACAAGCGGCGGCUAGUAAAAGAGAUAGGAUUCGGGGGGUGCUAGAGCUGCCAAUGAUCCAGAAGUUAAAACUCAAGCUUAGUGCUUGGGCAAUGAGCAAGGUCGAUGUCACCCAACGUGCAUUUGUUAUUAAUCCAAAGAUAAUUCUCCCGUUCAAGCCAGCGGAUGUGGCCAAGGUCUUCGAGAUCCCAUGCGGCAACAGGGAUGUGCGUGGACCGGAUGGCAACAUCAACGAAGAGUCUGUUUCAUUUAUAAAAAAGACCCUAGGCAUGGACCAGUCCGCAGCACACAGCUUGCGCGUUGCGGAGGAGUUCUUGAUGCGGAACAUAACUGAAGAAUCAAGCAAGUUGGAGAAAGACUGUUUUCUGAUAGCGUUCGUGAUCUUUGUAAUGGGUCAUCUCCUAGAUCCUUCGUCGAAACAUGACUACAAGAGCAUCAAUUCCUGGGGCGCCAUUGCUAAUACCGAAGAGAUAGCCCAGUUCAAUUGGUGCGAGUAUGUGUUGCAAGCCUUGCUUGAUGCGGUCACAAAACUGAAGGUUGAUAUGGAUAAUGGCGUCACGACAGCAAACCUUACUGGAUGCCAUCUUUUCCUUCAGGUGUUCCUUCUUGAUAACCUUGACUUGGGGAUAUUCAACCUGAAACAUGAUGUUUUCCCUUGGGUCAAAAUGUUCGACCAGGACACCUUGCGGCGCAUGACUAUAAUGGCGUCCGACGCUGGAGUACCUGAGCCGUCGUUCGCGUCAUCAAUGUUGAGAGAUGCAGCGACCGUAUGCUACUCCCAGAGCGUUCAGACUGACAAGCCCCGCACCGACAACCCGCCAUUGUCUCGAACCUGGUCCCCUCUCCCGCCAUGCGCGCACCGGCACCUCCCUUACUGUACCGAAGGACAGUGUAGUCAAUCGCCCAUCUCCAAUGGUCGCAGUUGCCAAGAAGACCACGCCCCCAAGGCAAAUGACCGCUGUUGACUACUCGAACUAUAUCACAAAUCGAUACCCAACUAUGUCAUCCCAAACGAUAGCGGUUCUUCUCCGUGAACAGAAUGCACGGGCGGUGCGCCAUCUUACCACGGCUUCUGGAUGCACAUGCUGCACUGCUAGGGGUUUUUCUGAUUGCCCUGUUAGACCGCAGACGCUAGACGAGGAAAGCGCAUCAUGCCGCGAAAAACGCAAGUUUGCUCUUCCUGGAGCCACGCACAGUGCACAAGCUUCAUACCACACUCCAAAGUAUCGCAAACUUAGCGGUCUCAAGUUGGACCUCUCCGACUGCGAAGUUGAAAGUCCACCACAGAGAAGCGGCGUGCGAAAAGGCAGCAUGCAAACCGAGCCAACACGCAAACCCGGCCAUCAUGUGGCCACAUCAAGCCACAACAAGGACAAACAUCAUGGAAGAAGCGACGCCAUAUGCAACGCCAUACAACAGUAUGCCAUAUGCAUAGCUGAAGCAGUUAAGGACAUAUACGUCGAUAGUAUUCAAGAAAACCAGACAGGCGUUUUCUUUUCCAUCUCCACCGCCGAGCUACCCAAACGGAAAUACGUAUCAUCAAGGAGCUAUGCAGGGAAUCCAUGGUUUAAAGGUCGCCCAGUCGUGCCUCCUAAAACUGAUAUAGCCGACUUGCUGGAAGCCUAUCUGCCAUCGCUGCCCGACAAUCAGCUGGCACAAAACUGGAUAGUUCAUGGUACCCCCCGGGAGAUUAGAAUCAGAGGUGUCGAAAUCCAACUACAGAUCAUCAGCAAUAGCAUGCUCAAUCACGAGCUUGGUUCCAUCCUUAUACAUCAACUAAUGCAGAUGGACAGUGAAGCUAAUUUGGAUACACCUUGCCUAACACACCGCCACAUCCUCGAAUGUGAUUUCUCGAUACGAAUGCACCAUGCUAGCAAUGUCUUCGGUUCAUUUCUCAUUUCUCUGCGCAGCCCAUUUUGUUUCGCCACCUGCAUUAAUCAUAAUGGCCUCCUCAAUUGUUUUAAUUGUUCCUUCUUUGCAGACCUUAGCCCUUGCCGAAAAUUCAAGUAUUUCUAGGUUUUUAGAGAUCUAGAAUCAGUUUAUUGGUCCGGUUGUGCAGCACGCAGUAGAGGCAUGCCAACUAGUAAUGUUUUUUACCCCACCAAUACUUUUGAGCAAACCCUUUCUCCCCCUGUGACACAAAUGGCACGACUAGAGCUCACAAAUUGUGUCUCCGAAAACAAAAAAACUUUAGUUUUACAUCCCAGCAAUACUUCGAGAGGGGUGGGCUCUCUACAUGUGGGACAUGCUCCAAAGGGUGAUCCACAUCAUCGCUCCCUCUGUUGGUGGCGGGGUAUGGAAUGCUGAGCAGAAGGAGCGGCACGAGCUCAUAGCGUCCCGGCUCCAUGAUGCUUUGUUCCAAUGCUUGGAAGACUUCUUCGCAGUGUGGCCUACGCCAAAAGAAAAUUGGUCAACUAAGUUUCCUCAACUCUUUGACACUGCAUUCACUAGGGAGGAAACCGGGUACUGUGUUAUGCAUACCAUCAGGACACCCUUAAGACCACUAAGCUAUGUGCGCUGCAAGAUGCAAUGAAGCUGCAGGGGAACCAAUCUUCACUCCCAGCUGACGCAAUAUGGCAGAAUGCAAUGUCCUCAUCAUGCAGGGCAACCUCGUCAUCACUUUCAGCAGCAAUACUUGGAACAAGGGCUGGCAGCGCCAUCGUCGAUGCAAUGGCAACGCUGCUUGCACACGCAUCAGCUUGAUCAGCUGGGUUGACAAAGCGUGUAGCCUCUACGCCAACCCACGCCUUUGCACUCCAAGGAAUAUGAAAACGGCUAUCGCCUGCCUCCCCACCAGCAAUCGCAACUGCAAGCAAACGUCAACCCCAAUCAAAUUCAUGGUCAUGCACUCUACAGCCUACAUUCCAGAAAUUCAAAGAAUGGAGCUCCUCGGUUGCGGAAUCAUUUACCUGAUCCAGAUGGUUCUCUGCGAGAAGAUCCAGCACCAGAACCUACAUCAGUGCCAACAAGUGAGAUGUUGCCUCCUCGGUCUGCAAUUUUUGGAACUUUUUCCUAUCAGCUAUCAGUGCACUCAUAGUUCUACAUAUCGAAUAUUUUGUUAAUAAUGCGACCGCCCCACACCGCCCCACACUGCUUCGUGCGCCAUGCUAACAGCAUUAGGGUACAGCUUGCUUCCAAAAUAAUACUGUAGUUUCUUCUUUUGAUCAUCAACCUACAUGAUUAUACUCUCCACAACCGAGCUCCUGUUUUCUUCAAUUGUCUCUGCUGCAACCCUGACCAUAGCAUCCAUAAGCAUUGGCAUGACAUGGUCUUCGAUCAUAGCCAUUAUGUUAUCCUUUCCCCUGCAGUUAUAUCAGAACAUUAAACAUGUCAGAAUAGACCAUCACCUAAAUAGAUCAGAGUGCAUUGGUCUGCAUAAACAUAUUUACCAGGUUGCUCACCUCUCCAACUUCGACCAUGCUGGAUGUUGCAUCUUCACCCACUCUCGCUGCCAUCAUCGGGAGCCACCUCAUAGGAAGCCCACCCAUGCUCCCCUAUGGCCUUAUCUGCAAUACAAAACAGACAGAUUGUAAAUUUCACAGCCCAGGGGAGAAAUGAAUUUUUGUUUUAUGGUUCGAAGCCAACGAAAUGAAGCCAGAGCUGUCUUUGUUUAGUAAUUCCAAUCCUAACCUUGUAUCUCCGGUGCUCAUCUGCCCUCUGCCGGUCUUCUUCAACCAAAGUGAUGAGCUCCUCCAUCUUCUCCGAAGAGUACACGGCAAUCUUAGGCACUAGGUCGGUGUUGAUGCUUGCUGCCUUGAAAUCGAUCCACUCGAGGCAGAAAAGAUGUAAAUUUUCAAGAGAACAAGAAUGUGUUCAUGCAAAACAGCCAACAUUUCAUGAAAAUACAUUAAUUUUUUUAAAUCUGUAAAGCUGUUAACCUGAAGCAGAAGAUUCCACCCCGCCUAAAUUUCCUUUGCAUUUUCAAGACGGCUGAUUUUGUUGAAUUCUUCGGGGCACAAUCCGUUGAAGAGAAUAUCACAAGCUUGAGCAUUGUAUUGCAACAUCUUCAACUCAUCCGCGGUAGCUUUACGGUUUGGUUCUCUCCCAUCAAAGAAGUCACCUUGCAAACCAACACACACAAUAGCCCAAACGGCGGGGUUAUGUUCAAGAAUAUGCAUUUUCAUUUUAUGCUUUCAACUAGCAAAAUUAGUACCAUCAAAGUAGG
rnacentral:rRNA from 1 species